rnacentral:rRNA from 1 species
UUAGAUUUUAUUUAUUAAUUAUUAAUAUUAAAUUUUAAAAUAUUAGAAAUAACUAUAAAUUUAAGUGUUUUAGUAUUGUUUAAAGAAAAAAUAAUUUUAAUAAUAGUGUAAUAGUAUUGUGAAAGAAAAUUGAAAUAAUUUGAAAAAUUUUUAUUAUAAAAGAAAAUUUAAUUUAUUGUACCUUGUGUAUCAGCGUUUAUUAAAUAAAAAAUAAAUAUUUAUUUUUCUCGAUUUUAAAAGAGUUAAUAUAAUAUAUAAGUUAAUGUGACAAAAUUAUUUAAAAUAUUAUAUUAGAAAUGAAAUGUUAUUCGUUUUUAAAGGUAUCUAGUUUUUCAAGAAAUAAAUUUAAUUUAGAAAUUAUAAAUUUAUUUAAUUAUUUAAAAAAUUAAAUAAUUUAUAAUUUUAAUAUUUUAUGGGAUAAGCUAUAAAAUAAAUUUUUAAAAAUAAUAAAUAAAUUUAAUAAAUAUAUGCUUAGAAUUAGCAAUUAUUAAAAAAUUUGUUAUAAUUUAUUUUAUAAAUUAAAUUAUUUAUUAAAUUUUAAUUAUUUAUUGAAAUAUUAAUUUUAAUUAAUAAAAUUAAGAAAUAAUGAUAGAAUUAGUAUAUUUUUAUGUAAAAAUAAAUUUUAAUGAUAAGUUUAAAUAAAGAAUUCGGCAAAAAUAAUGUUCGCCUGUUUAACAAAAACAUGUCUUUUUGAAUUAAAUAUAAAGUCUAACCUGCCCACUGAAAAUUUUUAAAUGGCCGCAGUAUUCUGACUGUGCAAAGGUAGCAUAAUCAUUAGUCUUUUAAUUGAAGGCUGGAAUGAAUGGUUGGACGAAAUAUUAACUGUUUCAUUUAAAUUUUUUAUAGAAUUUUAUUUUUUAGUCAAAAAGCUAAAAUAAAUUUAAAAGACGAGAAGACCCUAUAAAUCUUUAUAUUUUAUUUAUUUUAAUUAUAAAGAUUAUUUUAAUUUUAAUAAAAUAAAAUAUUUUAUUGGGGUGAUAUUAAAAUUUAAAAAACUUUUAAUUUAUAAAAACAUUAAUUUAUGAAUUGUUGAUCCAUUAAUAAUGAUUAAAAAAUUAAGUUACUUUAGGGAUAACAGCGUAAUUUUUUUGGAGAGUUCAUAUCGAUAAAAAAGAUUGCGACCUCGAUGUUGGAUUAAGAUAUAAUUUUGGGUGUAGCCGUUCAAAUUUUAAGUCUGUUCGACUUUUAAAUUCUUACAUGAUCUGAGUUCAAACCGGUGUAAGCCAGGUUGGUUUCUAUCUUUAAAAAAUUAUAAUAUUUUAGUACGAAAGGACCAAAUAUUAGAAUAAUUGUAUUUUUUAUUAUGAAUAUUAUUAAUAUAA